rnacentral:rRNA from 1 species
CGAACGGGUGAGUAAUAUAUCGGAACGUGCCCUAGAGUGGGGGAUAACUAGUCGAAAGAUUAGCUAAUACCGCAUACGAUCUACGGAUGAAAGUGGGGGAUCGCAAGACCUCAUGCUCAUGGAGCGGCCGAUAUCUGAUUAGCUAGUUGGUAGGGUAAAAGCCUACCAAGGCAUCGAUCAGUAGCUGGUCUGAGAGGACGACCAGCCACACUGGGACUGAGACACGGCCCAGACUCCUACGGGAGGCAGCAGUGGGGAAUUUUGGACAAUGGGCGCAAGCCUGAUCCAGCAAUGCCGCGUGAGUGAAGAAGGCCUUCGGGUUGUAAAGCUCUUUUGUCAGGGAAGAAACGGACUGGGUUAAUACCUUG